rnacentral:rRNA from 1 species
CAGCAGCCGCGGUAAUACGAAGGGGGCAAGCGUUACUCGGAAUUACUGGGCGUAAAGCGUGCGUAGGUGGUGGUUUAAGUCCGUUGUGAAAGCCCUGGGCUCAACCUGGGAAUUGCAGUGGAUACUGGAUCACUAGAGUGUGGUAGAGGAUAGUGGAAUUUCCGGUGUAGCAGUGAAAUGCGUAGAGAUCGGAAGGAACAUCUGUGGCGAAGGCGACUAUCUGGGCCAACACUGACACUGAGGCACGAAAGCGUGGGGAGCAAACAGGAUUAGAUACCCCGGUAGUCCCUGUCUCUUAUAC